rnacentral:rRNA from 1 species
AACGAACGCUGGCGGCAUGCCUAACACAUGCAAGUCGAACGAGACCUUCGGGUCUAGUGGCGCACGGGUGCGUAACGCGUGGGAACCUGCCCUUAGGUUCGGAAUAACUCCCCGAAAGGGGUGCUAAUACCGGAUAAUGUCUUCGGACCAAAGAUUUAUCGCCUUUGGAUGGGCCCGCGUUGGAUUAGCUAGUUGGUAGGGUAAAAGCCUACCAAGGCGACGAUCCAUAGCUGUUCUGAGAGGAUGAUCAGCCACACUGGGACUGAGACACGGCCCAGACUCCUACGGGAGGCAGCAGUGGGGAAUAUUGGACAGUUGGCGAAAGCCUGAUCCAGCAAUGCCGCGUGAGUGAUGAAGGCCUUAGGGUUGUAAAGCUCUUUUACCCGGGAUGAUAAUGACAGUACCGGGAGAAUAAGCUCCGGCUAACUCCGUG